AUGGCGGGCACUGCCACAACAUCCACAGCCACGGUUUUCGUCAUGCUUGUCAUCCUGUCAUGUGGCCUCCCCGCAGCCCACGCUAACGCGGUCUUCAUCUCCCGCACAUGCAAGAAGACCAAGAACGCCGCAUUGUGUAAGCGCGUGCUAAGACUCGACCAAGAUAGCGUCAAGGCCUCCACCGUGCAUGACCUCGCCAGCAUCGCACUGGGGAUAGCCACCGCUUUCGCUAACUUUCAAGCCGGUAACAUCAGAGUCGGGGCCAGAUUCAACCAGGGUACACCCGUGGGAGACGCGCUAUCCGUCUGCCUCCGGGCCUAUUUAGAAUUUUAG
rnacentral:rRNA from 1 species